ensembl:lncRNA
GCAAAGAGUCGGUGCACGACUGAGCGACUUCAUUCAAUACAAAAUAUCCAGAACAGGCAAAUCCAUAGAGAGAAAAAGUACUGGUGAAUGCCAAAGUCUGGGGGAGGAGGUAUUAGAGAAUGCCUGCUAAUAGGUGUGGGGUUUCCUUUGGGGGUGAUUGAGUGAAGUGAGUAGUCGCUCAGUCACGUCCGGCUGUUUGCGACCCUAUGGACUAUACAGCCCAUGGGAUUCUCCAGGCCAGAAUACUGCAAGAAAACAAGAGAAAGGAUCCUUGAAGGAGGGAAGUAGAAGCAGGUGGUCAAUUAAGAAGCUCCUGCAGCCAUCAAGACAACAGAUGUUCAUGCUGCCUCUGGCUGAGAUGAUUGGAUGGUGUUUGCCAUCAGUGCCUCUAAGACUCCUCACUCUCACUGCAGAGGGCCCAGGUUCGAUCCCUUGUCAGGGAAAUAGAUCCCACAUACAGCCACUGAAGUUCUCACGUCCUGCAACAGAAGAUCCUGUGUGCAGCAACUAAGACCCAGAGCAGCCAAAUAAAUAAAUAUUUUUUAAAAGUAACUCCUUUUAUGUUUAGACAGCUCUGAGAUUCUUCUUUGUUAAAGAAACUGGCCUCCCAAGACUUGAAGAGGCACAAUUUUGUUCUGCAAUCUCCUCUGCGUGACACCUCUCACGUGUGUGAAGAUAGUUCUUGCAGCUUCCUCGGGUCCUCUUUCUGCUUAUCUAGACCAAGCUCCCUGACAGUGCCUUCCUCGGUUCAGGCUCAGAUAUCACUUCUGCAGGAGACACCCUUCAUUCAUGAGGUCAUUCAUUCAUCCAAACUUUAUUAACAACUCAUUGUGUACCAUGUACUUGAUAGAACCUAGAAAUACAGAAAUGAAGGUAUAGUUCCUACCUUCAAGAAAUACAGCAUCCAUCGGGAGAGGGGGACGUUUAAAGAAAUAAUUGUAACAUCACUGGCA